GACCGACUAGCAUUUCACGUAGAUUGUUCUGCAUGAAGGAUUAUUUUAUCACCUUAAAUGAUGAGCUAUGGGUUUCUCCGUAGUUAAUUGUAUUUGUUUUAUAAUUGAGCUGUUCGUAUUGAAAGGGUACAAAGCAUCGCCGACAUUUACUGUGGAUGUAAAUGAUGUCUUCGUAAACAGUAGCAUAACGUUAACAUGUUCCACGUCAUUCCCGCCGGAAGCUGUUGCUUGGUUCAUGAGAGACGAAGGAUCAGAAGAAGAGAAAAAAGGUCAUUGCUCAAUGGUUAGAUGCUGAUCAUCUGUGUCGUACUGACACCAAUGCUAUGGAGUGUUCAUGUUUGUCAGAACACGUCUACUCGUGUUCUAUAAAGUCGGUGCUGCAAAGCUUUCGAUGGAAUUGGCUAUAGUAUAAUUAAAAGCUACACAAUCAGAUUAAUAUUUCCACUUACUUCCUUAACCAUUCUACCAGAGACGUCAGUUGCUUACCCAGUUUUCAAUGUCGUAUCUACCUUUACAUGCAUCACUUCAUUAAGCCGGCCUGUGGCUAGUAUUCAAUGGUUCAACGACAACAUAAACAUAGCACACCUUGCUAAUUAUUCGCACAUUGAUGACGUCGCUAGAAGUGAUUUACAAUUUAUACCAAACGCUAACGGGUACAUAGGUGGACGUAUAUCCUGCGUUGCAAGUUGUGAGUUUAAAUCCAUUAGUAACGUUCUAUCAGCUAAUAUGAGCAUUCGAGUACAGUACCCCGUUUCUAACCCAAUAGUGACUAUCAACAAUCUAAGUAUAUCAACUGAUUUUGCAAUACGAGAGGAUAGACUCGUUCAUUUGAAUUGUUUCUCCACCGGAUAUCCACAACCUUCGUAUAAUUGGACUUACUCGGGCGGACGAUCGACCGGUGCUUUUCUGAUUUGUACAUUCACUCGCAAUAACGGUAGCGUGUCAUGUAAGGCGUAUAAUGUUAUGCGCACAUUUGACGGUAAAAAUAGUGCAGAG